CUCUGCAGGGAGAAUCCAGUUCUGGAAGUUGCUGAACUAAUUUGUGUGCAUGACAGCACGGGCGCCGUCAGAGGCGGAACAGGGAGAUGGUCACUGACUCCCUACUGGACCUGGGGGCACAGUGCCCCCUAAGCUGAGACACCCACUCCCUCCCACCCUCACUGCUUGUCCUUUAACACCAGGUCAGAGAUCAACUCCUGGAAACUGCCCGCAUGUCCUCACCCUGCUGGCCCGAGCCAGCGUUGCGCGCCUGGCCCCUGCACCAAAGCUGCUGCUUUCCAACUCCUGGCGGGCGAUGGCCGUCUCGGCACUCCCAGGGGCUGCACCCACAGAGCAAAGCGGCGCUCCUCACUCAAAUCUCCCCAGUAACCUGGUGACGAACCAACCCCUGGCACUCUGGGUUGCCCAGAAGAGGUACAUUUCAGAUCAAGCUCUCAUCUGCAAGCAUUCGCAGCAAUUCCCAGGUCUUUAUGGCCGUCAGAGCAGAGAGAAUGGGUUCCCCAUCCUACUAAAAGCUACAAUGUUUUCUCUUAGUCUUUUUGAAGACUCCUCUCAUCUAGGGGAGGCUGCAUCUCCACCGCCGCAUAAGGCUCUGACGGUAGGUCCCCAGAUAAGAGGGCUGCAGAAGCCUCCGGAAACCUCUAGUGAACGUGACCUCCUCCUGAGCCCUGGCUCCUGCUGAGAUGCAGCCCCUUGCCCAAGACAACACGUCUCAGGGCAGCCUGGCCCCUCCAUCACCUUAACGAGAACACCUGCCAAGGACGGGCCUUCAUCUCAGGCCUACUCCAGCCUCCUGGGGCCUCCCGCCUGCAGCUCUCUGACCUCAAAAACAGCAGGCUCACCUCUUCCCCUGGCCAGAGUCUGCAAAGCCAGGUCUCCUAGGAGCAACACCCGGGCUGACAGCCUAUGAGGUCAGACAAGGACCCAGGAAGGUGCCUUCCCCAUCAAAACAGCCCGACUGCUCUUGAGCAAUAGUGACCUCAUCUGAAAACCCAAACAAGGCCUUCCUGGCAGUCAGCAGAGUGAAGGGCCAGUGACUGCACGGUUCGCAGACAGCCUACACAGAGGCCGGCUCCGUGCACACCGAAGGCCCAGGCCAGACCACAGCCGGCUCAGCUUCCACUGCAACUCAACACCCCACGCCUUGCACACUCAUGUCUCAGCUAGAGGCAAAGGCACCCAGGCCACACUAAGUGUCUAUGAAGGGAUUGGCUCCACUGACAGGUAAGAAAACCGUGAGCCCAAGAGCCAACCUGCCAAGGUCUCGGAGUGCCCCAUGGAGCAGGCCCAGGUUUGAACCUCCAGGGGCCAGUGCUGCGGGCCCUCUGAAAAACAACCCCCUUAACUCCCUGCAAGGGAUGGGAUUAAAACCCCACCUGCAGGGGGCAACACUGAGACCCUCCACUUCACCCUCGGUCACUCUUUCCAGGGUGGUCUACAGAGGGGCAAGUCCCUUUCGCAGCAGCAUCAGGAAGGUCUGAAUCCAGCCAAGUUUAAAUGGGUCUCUUGCCGCUGGAAUCUUCCAGAACCUUUCCUGCGCUGACACACGCUAUGGAUGUUCAGGCGCACCUGGGGGCACAGCCCAGGGUCCUUGACUUUGUUUGCAAGGACUGGUGGCAAGAACAAGCCUCAGGAGCCUCUCGUUGCGAGUCGGGAGCCCGGGCUGCGGGAGGCUGGACAGUGAGACACACUGAGCAGCAGCGAGUGUCCUCCUGCCGGACAGAGAAGAGGCUCAGCAACGGCCCGGACGGGACGCCGGGCCACGGCACUGACGACUCGGGGUAACAACGUCCCAUUUUAAGUAACACAAAUGUUGAGUAGAAAGUCAGCAUUUCCAUCACUCUCUCAAUGGAAGUGAUCCUCGUGCCCUAAAGACCCGGUUUUUAUGUAGGAAAGUCGCUCUCCCUUGUCAGCCCGAAGAGAUGGCUGCUGAGAAGUCAGACCCGCGGCUCAGCUGAGCACAGUGAUGUUGGUGUUCGCCUCGGCAAGAAACAGCGUCACGAGCAGACGCGUUGCAAAGCCAUCCGGGCAACACGCGGCCUGCAACGAUUUGCGCUGGGCCUGGAAGGUCUCCUGGUUUUAACUUCCCCCCAGUUGCUGACACAGAUGUCAGGAACGGGGCGUGUGGGCGCGGGGACACCCACGAGGCCCCAGGAGGGAGCCCCAACAAGACGCAGAAAGCUCCUCCCGGCACGGACGCGACCAGGUGGAGUUACAAGCAGUCAUAGCAAAGCCACGCCAGGCGCGGGAGCAGGAACAUCUCCGCCGGUCAGUCUCGGACAGCAAACAGCCAGCACACUCGCCGCGGCUCCCGGGAGGGCCUGCGGGGCGUGAGUGAGGCCCCACACUGAUGUGACGCGAACCUCGGCGGCCGCCCGGGACGGGGUGCGGGUGCCACUGUCUCCAGAUGCGUCAUUCUCGUGCCCAAAGUGCCUACGUUUUCACCUUGCACCUCUGAAGUGCACGAUUUAAUGUGUUCACAAGGGGCCAAAAUGGCGAGGGAAUCUAAAGGUUGACCCCACCCGCCCCGGGAGACGGACUCCCAGCGCCAGCAGUGAACAAAGCAUUUCGGGUCCAACUCUGCCACUGUACCGGGCACAGCCUCAACCAGAUACUAUCUUAUGUGACCAAAAUUAGCAUCAUCAGUAAGGGGAGAGAGGAACAAUGUGUGCUCCUGAGCCGAUGCACAAAGAACACGAUGUCCCUUCUGUGGGAUCCCUGCAAGGGCCAAGCCUGAAUCUUGUCAUGUGGAAACAGCAGCUGCGUUCAAGUUCAGGAGCAUUUGACAAAAUAACCAGUCAGUACUCUUCAAAAGUUAUAAUGUCAUGGAAUUCAAAGGAAGUUUGAAGAACUGUUCCAGUUUAAAUAAAUCUAAAGAGACGAUCACUGAUUGUAAAAACUAGAACAGAAAGCCAUCUUAGUAUUUAUUGUUACCUGAGAAAGUAAGAUUUGUUUCAUGAUAAGGGACACUGUGGAUAAACUGGUGACAGACAUUUCUCCAAAGACAUUCAAAUGGCCAAGCACAGGAUGUGCUAAGCACUAGUCAGCACCGAUGGUGAGGACAGCUGGUAAAAUGCUUGGAAGCAAUAAAUGGCCCAUAAACAUCAGGGUAAAAGCUCAGCCUCACCUGCUGUGAAAUAUUUUCACUCACCAUCUGGGUGUGUUAAAAAGAUUUACAGUUUCAGCACCAGCAAGUAAAUAAUCAGGGGAAUAGAAAUGCCAAAGCCCUAUUGACACGGGGUGACAACUGGUCCGACUCACUGGAGAGUGUCACAGAAUAUCAUGAGGCAUUUUGAACACAGACACUUCGGCCCAGCAAUUGAGCUUCUAGGAAUCGCUCCUUCCGACAGCCUGGCACCUGGGCACAAAGCCACCCACACAAGGUGUCUGGGACCAUCCAGCGCUACCGUCAGGGGACCCGGGCGAGGAUCACGAAGCUGUACCCCACGGAGUCCAGAGAAAAAGCCAACAAUGUACAGUAUCGAUCGUUACAGUCAUUUUUGUACAAGGCAAAGGCAAAAACAUGGAAAUGCACGUUUGUCUUAUACAUUGAAAACUCAAAGAUUGGCACUAAAUUGUCGGCAGUGGUAUCGCUCGGGGAGUGGGAUGGCGGAGACGGGAAAGAAUGAAGUAACCUGUGGGCAUUCACCAUAAAGACCAACAAUAGGUGA